UUUCUACUGACCUUCUGAGACAUUUUUUACACCCGUAUGUGGCACGUGAUUUGAAUUUAACGAAAAAGAUAACGAAGAGUGUAACAAAAAAUGAAAAUAAAGAUAAUGGUAUAUUUAACAGUUAAAACGGUAUGGUAUUAAAAUAAAAAAUGAUAAACCAUAAGAAGCCCCUGACAUUUAAAAACCUACACUUUAUUCCCUUGUAAAAUAAAAAAUAUUCACAGGAGGGUUAUGGUGUGUAAAAUGACUAUUUUGCCCCUCGCCAUUUUCGUCUUCUUCCUUAUCUUCCUCAGCCGCUCCUUCGAUCGGCCGCGAUUCCCAUCUUAAUCGGCCACGAUUUCUCUUCAUUUCCUUCUCCAUCUGCUCCCCUUCUCCCCCUGCACCGUCGUCGUCGCUCGAUUUCGGCGAUAGUAGGGAGGAAACCGAGGUGGGUGUUGAUGGAGAGGUAGGCAGGGACAACGAGGGCGCAGGCGAGGCAGCGGAGGACGGCGAAGUGGAUGUGGGCGAGGGCCAGGCAGUGGAGGAGGGCGAGGCGGCGAGGCGGCGAGCCGGAAGGAGGCGAAGCAGCAGGGAAGAGGGCGGAGGAUAUUUUUGGCAUAAAAAAAAAAAUUUAUAAUGGAACACUAACGAUAGGGGGUGAAGUGCACAUUUUUCAUUUUACAAGGAGGUAAAGUGUAGGUUUUUAAAUGUCAGGGGGGGAAAGUGAAAAAGCGGGUUAUGUAAGGACUGAGAUUUUGGCAGUGCAGCUAAACUCUUGGUUGACGAUGUUUAUAUGUGUAAUUUAAUUACAUAAGCACUCGUCAAGUUUCAGGAGAAAAUAAGCUAGAACGGAGAAGUUACGCGAUCUUUAAUUUUCACUUAAGUGAAUAGUAACUUGGUUUUUCCGGAGAAGCCACGGAGUAGAGUUGGCUUCUGGUGCGUAUUGAACUCCGUUCAUAGCAGUCCAAUAGCUCGUUUCGAAUGAUUCAGCUAUUCUGGAAUCAAUGGCACUGACGGAUUUCAAAUCUAAUGCACGGUUGUGGAGAAAAAGGGGUUUGAUCGGUUUUACAUAUAUAAAUAUGUGGUGUUAUGGUGGAAACAACGAGGGUAGGUUUCAUCCGAUUUGAUCUCCGAUUCACGACGAAACCUACCCUCGUUGUUUCCACCAUAACACCACAUAUUUAUAUAUGUAAAACCGAUCAAAUCCCUUUUUCUCCACAACCGUGCAUUAGAUUUGAAAUCCGUCAGUGCCAUUGAUUCCAGAAUAGCUGAAUCAUUCGAAACGAGCUAUUGGACUGCUAUGAACGGAGUCCGAUACGCACCAGAAGCCAACUAUACUCCGUGGCUUCUCCGAAAAAACCAAGUUACUAUUCACUUAAGUGAAAAUUAAAGAUCGCGUAACUUCUCCGUUCUAGCUUAUUUUCUCCUGAAACUUGACGAGUGCUUAUGUAAUUAAAUUACACAUAUAAACAUCGUCAACCAAGAGUUUAGCUGCACUGCCAAAAUCUCAGUCCUUACAUUAUCCCCCCCUUAAAAGAAGUUUCGUCCCCGAAACUUAACAACGUACCCCCCGUAAUCAAAUUCAGACAUUGAUCCACCAAUGCAAUAUCACCUUUGAGUACUGGUCAGUCACCAUUCAUUUGGACAGCUCAACCUCCGAAGAAGGGGAGACACCAAGGACUACGUUUCCACUCGGACAAGACGAGAAAACAUACCAACCCAAAAUCCACGGACCAAAACUCACCGGGAUCAACACCGUCCUAUAACCUGCGGACAAAAACAAUACCGCGACUAGGAUUAUUCGAUCCCAAUUUGCAAAUUCGGAGAUAACAGUUCAUCACCCAGAAACACUAAAUCCACUCUAUCUUGGUCCGUGUAGCCGUAACCGACUCGACUACGUCACUAGCUCACGUUGAAGAAACACGAGUCGAUAACACUCACCUCGAAGACCACAGUCUCCCACUAGUUAUCAAACACACAAACUGUCGAAGUCAAAUCCUCAUCAACGGAAAGCCACCAGCGACAAUCUAU
rnacentral:lncRNA from 1 species